AAGAAAUAACAAUAUUCCGGAUAAUACGAUCUACAGAUUAAAAUUCAAAGAAAUUGGCGGUGUCUUAUAUAAUCAGGGGAACCUGUCCUUUAAUUCGAUAAUCCACGAAAAUAAAACCUAUAUUUGAAACUUCAGCUUGUGUACUGCUGUCGUCAGUAAACCUCUAAAAGAUAGUUUACAAUAAUAGAAACAACUAUUAACGUCAAGUCAAAGUGCAGCUAAUAUAUAGGGAGUUGAUGGGUUACAAUCUAAAUAUAGAAACGGAUAAAUUUAAUAAAAAUUUUUUGAAGGUGGACUUGAAAGUAAUAANUUAAAUAAUAAUAUUAUUAAUAAUAAUCUAAGACAUGCACACAUCGCCCGUCACUCUCCUU
rnacentral:rRNA from 1 species